rnacentral:rRNA from 1 species
UACGGAGGGGGCGAGCGUUAUUCGGAAUUAUUGGGCGUAAAGGGCGCGUAGGCGGCUUUCUAAGUCAAAGGUGAAAUCCCUCGGCUCAACUGAGGAACUGCCUUUGAAACUGGAAGCUUGAGGCCGGGAGGGGGUAGGCGGGAAGUUCCCAGUGUAGCGGUGAAAAUGCGUAGAUAAUUUGGGGAGGAACACCAGUGGCGAAAGGCGGCUACCUGGACCGGUUCUGACGCUGAUGCGCGAAAGCGUGGGUAGCAAACAGG